rnacentral:tRNA from 1 species
GCCACGGUGGUUUAGCGGUUAGAACGCUGGCCUUGUAAUCCUGGGGUCUCGCGUUCGAUUCCCGGCGGUGCCC